rnacentral:sRNA from 1 species
AUUUUAAAACAGAGGGAACAGGAGGCCAAAUGGAAGAAUGUGCCAGAAUGGAAAAGAAAAAUUUUACAGAAAAAAGAGGAAGAGGAUCAAGGAGCAAAGACAGCGCCACCACAGAAAGAGAAUAACCCAGCUGAAACAGAGACAA